GUGAUUCAGGUAUUUUCUUAUGUGGGAUAUUAAAUUAUAAAACACUUCAAUUAAUUAUAUAAUAUAUUAAUAUUUAGGAUAACUUGUUCUAAUAUACAACAAUUAUUUCAGAGUAGAUUUUGUUCUGAUUCUCCUCUGGAGAACAUUUAAUUUAGAUUUUAAAAUAUAGCUUUAUUAUACACUGUAAUGCAUGACUAGCUUUGUAACGACUCUACAGGUCCCAUGCUACUUCUACAAUUAAAAUCUCUUGCAUUCCUCAUGAUUUUGCAACAUGCCAUAUAUAUUCUCUUUUUGCACCAACAGGAUGAAACCAAAGGAGACUAUGAAAAAAUCCUGGUGGCUCUGUGUGGAGGAAACUAAACAUCCCAACUGCUCUGUAAGAUUCCGAGGAGAACAUCUCUUAGCCGUUGUUUUCUUCCUAUUGCAAGGCUUAAGUAGGAAAGUUGCUUUGUCAGUAAGUCUAAUUACCUUCUUUGAAUAAUGUAGCCUAUAAAUAUGUUUUAGAUCAUUCAUCUGUACAAUAGAGAAAUACUUGUUUUGUUAAUUAUGUUUAUCCCAAAUUAUAAAUCCCUGUAAGCAAGUCACUUUGGUACCAUUCCUGAGAAAGAAGUUUACAUAGAAUAAAAUAAAACAAUUUUAUAAGACAA
rnacentral:lncRNA from 1 species